rnacentral:rRNA from 1 species
AUGAUCCGUCUGCAGACGUACGCGGCGUUCAGCCUGCUGGCGACGACGUCAGCGGUGUACUACGCGUUCAGCAGCAGGGAGCAGUUCUACCCGGCGAUGGUCUACCUCUCCUCGUCCAAGAUCUGCUUCGUGCUGCUCCUCAACACGGGCCUUGUCGCCAUGUGCACCACCUGGCAGCUCGUCAAGCGCAUCUUCCUGGGCACGCUCCGCGAGGCCGAGGUUGAGCAGCUCAACAAGCAGUCCUGGAGGGAGGUCGUGGAGAUCCUCUUUGCGGUCACCAUCUUCCGCCAGGACUUCUCCGUCGCCUUCCUCACCGUGGUCGCCGCCCUGCUCCUCGUCAAGGCGCUGCAUUGGCUCGCACAGAAGAGGGUCGACUACAUUGAGACCACGCCCUCCGUGCCGAUGCUGUCGCACAUGAGGGUUGUGUCCUUCAUGGUGUUCCUGCUUGCCGUCGACUGCAUCUUCCUGUCGAGAUCCUUGAUGCCACUGAUAAAGAACCGGGAGGCGUCUGUUGCAAUCUUCUUUUCCUUUGAGUAUAUGAUACUAGCAACAUCGACGGUAUCGAUAUUCAUGAAGUAUGUAUUCUAUGUCAGCGACAUGCUAAUGGAAGGUCAAUGGGAGAAAAAGGCAGUGUAUACAUUUUAUUUGGAGCUCAUCAGUGACCUUGUGCACUUGUCUUUGUAUAUGCUCUUCUUCAUAGCUAUCUUCCCUAACUAUGGUGUCCCUCUGCACUUGAUCCGUGAGUUGUACGAGACCUUCAGCAACUUCAGAAUUCGUGUUUCAGAUUAUGUGCGCUACAGAAAGAUAACUUCCAACAUGAAUGAAUGUUUUCCAGAUGCUACAGCUGAUGAGCUUAAUGUGAGUGAUGCUACAUGUAUUAUCUGUCGUGAAGAGAUGACAACAGCAAAGAAGCUGCUUUGUGGGCACUUAUUCCAUGUGCAUUGUUUGAGGUCAUGGCUAGAGCGCCAACAUACUUGUCCCACAUGUAGAGCUCCCAUUGUCCCCCCGGACAAUGGACGUACUGCAUCUGCGCAACAGCAUGGAGCUCAACCGGGUGUUCAGCUUGCUGCAGGCAUCGGCGCUCCAGGUUCAGAAGGGGCAACAAGUGAGAACGUGAACAGGCGUCAAGCAAAACUUGAGGCUGCUGCUUCAGCUGCUUCCUUAUAUGGGAGAUCUUUUGCUUAUCCUCAACAAACACCUUGA